rnacentral:misc_RNA from 1 species
UGGUGAACCAGCGGAGGGAUCAUUACCGAGUUUACAACUCCCAAACCCAAUGUGAACGUUACCAAACUGUUGCCUCGGCGGGGUCACGCCCCGGGUGCGUAAAAGCCCCGGAACCAGGCGCCCGCCGGAGGAACCAACCAAACUCUUUCUGUAGUCCCCUCGCGGACGUAUUUCUUACAGCUCUGAGCAAAAAUUCAAAAUGAAUCAAAACUUUCACCAACGGAUCUAAGGGUUCUGG